AUGAGUGCUUUAGGCCGUCCACAAGAUAUGUUUUCGGAUACUGCCAUACAAUUACAACCUAUCUUUGCUCAAUGGGUACAAAAUAUCCAUGCUACUUCGCCUGGCGUAAUAGCUCCUGGUGCAACAACAAGUACUAGCUUAACAUGGGGAGGCGGUGAGUUAGUAGCAGUAGGUGGCAAAGUGGCUUUGUUACCUAUUCCAUUAGGAACCGCAUAUUUUUUUAGUCCAUCACAUUCAUGCAUUUACCAUACAUGUGACUGUAUUAAUACUUUUGAAAGGUGUUUUAUUUGUUCAGAGUUCCCGUUUGAUACCUGA
rnacentral:rRNA from 1 species